rnacentral:lncRNA from 1 species
UGUCUCUGCUCAGGUGCAUUUGUGGCUAAAUUCUCCCGCUCUCGUAUAACUUCGUAUAAUGUAUGCUAUACGAAGUUAUUACGAACGGAUUUGGAGAAAUGUAGCAUUACAUCACUUGCUCAUCAAUGGAUCCUCUGCAGUGAAUGGGUGCCGUCAGAAUGAGAGUCCAAACAGCUGAUAAAAACAUCACAAUAGUCCACAAGUAAUCCACAGCACUCCAGUCCAUAAAUGCUUAGAAAACAGUACUGUCAUUGCCAUAAAAUAACAAAAAAAAAAAAAAAACAGGGCACUUGAGUCUUUCAGUACAGAUUGAAUAUUGCUUUGAGGUUUUUCAGUGAUUUCCUCUUAGAAAAUGUAAAUGUUUCCAUUUAAAGGGUUAGUUCACCCAAAAAUGAAAAUUCGGUCAUUAAUUACUCACCCUCAUGUCAUUACAAACACAUAAGACCUUCGUUCAUCUUCGGAACACAAAUUGAGAUAUUUUUGAUGAAAUCCAAGAGCUUUCUGAGCCUCCACAGAGAGCAAUGCAACUGAAACAUUCAAGGCCCAGAAAGGUAGUAAGGACAUUGUUAAAAUAGUCCAUGUGACUUCAGUGGUUCAACCUUAAUUUUAUGAAGCUAUGAGAAUACUUUUUGUGUGCAAAGAAAACAAAAAUAACGCCUUUAUUCAAUAAUUUCUUCUCUUCCGUGUCAGUCUCCGCCGCCAUUCACAAGAGUACCACGACGCAUGGGAAGUUCAUCGCUAUGAAAUCACAUUCAAGAAGUCUCAUUCAGCACACAUCGCGAUAUUUGCCAUCAGUUCAUGUGUGCCGCACGUUGGCUGAAAAGACCUAAAGGAAGCAGUCAGCCCAGUCGUGUUAGUGGAGAGGUAUUCAUUCAGAAACAGAUGACAGAAAGCUGUAAAGGCAGACAUUUGGAUUACUUGCAGAUUGCGGUGUCCUUCUCCAUCAUGCACAUGCACUCACCUCUUUAACUCUUUAUCCCACACACAUACAGAAAUGGCACCUGGAUCAAUAUUAAGACUUUGCAGUGAUUUUUAUUUUAUUUUUUUUGCAGAAGAUGCAACUUUGUUUUAAUUAUAGGCUUGUAAUGAAUACAUUUAGACCUUCCAGCGACCCAUAUAUACAGUAUAGAUACACAGAACCAAUAAUAAAAAUAAUAGUUGAAAAUAGUCGUAUUGAUAAAGCAUUGUGUUCUCUUUUUCAAGCUUCAUAAACUGUACUUGGUGUCAUGUGUUGUACCACUUUUGGAUCAUUUUUUAAGAAAAUUCAUCUGUUUCCAGUGUUCUCUGAAAGACAAAUACUGUAUAUAAUUUUUUUUUUUUUUUUUUUUUUUUUUAUAAAGCAUUUUAUUACUUAAAAUAGUUAAUAUUUAUAAUUAUAAUUAUUACUAAUGAUUUGCUUUGCAAAAAAUCACUAGCAUUAAUACUAGUGUUCCUGUGGCUCAGUGGUAGAGCAUUGCGUUAGCAGCGCAAAAGGUUGUGGGUUCGAUUCUCAGGGAGCAUGUUAGGUAAAAAAUGUUAGCCUGAAUGCACUGUAAGUUGCUUUUAAGCGUCUGAUAAAUGUAUACAGCAUCCUUAUAAAUGUAAAUAUAAUACAGUAUAAUUAAUUAUUAAAGUAAAUAAUGUAAAAUGUAAAAAAACGUUUUGUAUUUUUAUAAAUAACUCUGGAUCACACUCUUGAGUUGACAGAGAAUGUUUAUAUCGAGAUUUGUAAGCCCGCAGAACCUGAUCUAAGCCAGGCUGGAUUUGUUUGGUUUUGUCAAGUCUAUACUUACUCUGAAACUCAGAGUUUGUUCAGCUAGCUUCAUGCAACAGGCCACAGUAAAAGGUUUGCAGGACCAGGGUUGGAACUGAAGUCUGCAGGAAGGAGCAGAACUAGCUUCUCCUGGUGUAUCAUGAACAUGGACUAUUUUAAUGAUGUCCUGACUGUGUUUCUGGGCCUUGAAUGUGUCAGUUGCAUUGCUGUCUAUGGAGGCUCAGAAAGCUCUCGGAUUCCAUUGAAAAUAUCUUCAUUUGUGUUUAGAGGAUGAACGAAGGUCUUAUGUGUUUGGAACGAAGUGAGGGUGAGUAAUUAAUGACAAGUGUUGGGCAGUAACUAGUUACAGUUAUAAUAUAACUUUAUACAGUAACUCGUAGUGUAAUUCAUUUCUAAUAAGAUUUCAGUAAUAAUAUUACAGUUACCAUCCAUAAAACAUUUAGCUUCUUAGUAACUUUUGAUGCCUCAACCCCUUCUGAUCUGAAAUCCAACAAUCCAAUAAUUAUUCAAUUUAUUUUCAUAAUUCUCACGACUCGCACAGGCACGUGAAGUCACCAGUGCAUCAGGAAAGCAUUAAGAUGUGUAAGAUGUGCAUUACUGUACUCUGCCCGCCCACAUCCCUACAAUAUUAAUUAUAUUACUAUGAUUAAACAUCUUAUGAACUUGUGUGAUUUCGUCUGAUAAAAUACUUCAUGAAAUAUAAUCAUAAAUGGGUAACAGAGAAAUUAUAGCUACAAUUAGCUUCAAGCUACACGUGACAAUUAAUACAACACUUACACUUAAAACUCACCAUUGAGUGUUUGUAAAAACUUCUGACUGCGAUCCACUGUAGAUUUUGGUCAAAUGAUAAAGCAAUAAAUAUAUUGUUAGUAACAUUUUAGAAGAAUUUUAUGGGGACGAAACACAAUAACAACUUCUGUGGGGCGUGAAGGAAAAGUAAUGUAACUAGUGUAGUGUAACUGAUUACUGUUGCCAGAGAGUUAUAAUUAAGUAAUAAUAUAACUUUUGAAGGGAGUAACUAGUAACGAGCCCAACACUGUUUAUGACAGAAUUUUCAUUUUUGGGUGAACUAUCCCUUUAAUUUGUAUAUUAAUUUGUAUCCAACAGGCGGCGCUGAUGCACUUGGAAACAAAUAGAAAUAAGCGGAAGUGUGACGUCAGGAGACGUGGUAUCAACAACAACAAAGUGCAUCGAGUGGUGUUUUAGAGUGGCUCGACUCAGUUCAUCAUGCCUGAAUGUAAGUAUGCUUUAUUAAACCUCUGUCCGGCGUUAUAUUCUAUAAACACACGUCUGUUUGAAUAAUAAUGUGCGCGCGGAGUGCUCGAGUGUAGACUUCAAAGAUAAAGUGUAGAAUUUAAAGGUUAAAGAAAUACAUGAGAUAAACAAAACCGUUGUUUGGGUGAAAAUUAAAUACGCAUUUACACAAAUACAGGCAUUGAUUUCUAAAUAAUAAUGACUGUCAUACCGCUAAAGUAAUAAUAAUAAUAAUUAAUUAAUUAAUUGUAAUUAUAAAUCUUUACAAACCUUUGCUACAGUCCUUCAGAUCACUAGAUUAAUUUAAAAUAUAAACAUCUAAAUUUAAUAUUAUUUAGUAUGAUCACUUAAUCUUUUAUGUAUUUUAAUAAAACUAUUAAAAAAUAGUGUAAUAUUUUGCACAUUUUGCUACGAUAGGCCCACUUCUUGCAAAACUGAUUAUAUUAUAAUUAAAAAAUAGAGUGUAAUAUUUUGCACAGUUUUAUUUUUUACGUAAAUAUAUCUGUUAUGCUGAAUGAUGAUGGAACACAGUUUUAUGCACACAGAAGUUAUUUGAAGCAUUGAUGUAGACACUAUACUUGCAUUUAUUAUGCUUAUUUAUAUGUAUAUAAAAUCACUUGUAAAUU